GACGAACGCUGGCGGCAUGCCUAAUACAUGCAAGUCGAGCGAACAGAUGAAGAGCUUGCACUUCUGACGUUAGCGGCGAACGGGUGAGUAACACGUAAGGAAUCUACCUAUAAGCGGGGGAUAACAUUCGGAAACGGGUGCUAAUACCGCAUAAUAUCUUCUUCCGCAUGGAAGAAGAUUGAAAGACGGCUCUGCUGUCACUUAUAGAUGACCUUGCGGUGCAUUAGUUAGUUGGUGGGGUAACGGCCUACCACGACGAUGAUGCAUAGCCGACGUGAAGGGGUGAACGGCCACACCGGGACUGCGACACGGCCCACACUCCUACGGGAGGCAGCAGUAGGGAAUCUUCCGCAGGGGGCGAAAGUCGGACGGAUCAGUGCCGCGUGAGUGAAGAAGGCCUUCGGGUCGUAAAACUCUGUUAUAAGAGAAGAACAAAUUGUAGAGUAACUGCUACAGUCUUGACGGUAUCUUAUCAGAAAGCCACGGCUAACUACGUGCCAGCCGCCGCCGUAA
rnacentral:rRNA from 1 species